rnacentral:lncRNA from 1 species
GUCACUCAUUCUCUUCUCUCAACUCUCAACUCUCAAGUCUCUAACUCUCAACACAGCCGAUUCAUCCCGACUCCGAGUCCGUCACCAGCCGUCACCGCCCGUCGCCAGCCUUCCCUUUCACGCCGGCGGCCCGGCCAUCACCCGUCGCCGGCCAUCCAUCAAUUCUUGGUAAUUAUGAGUGACCCACAAAAGAAGGUGGAAAAGGCGAAGGAUAAGAAAGCUAAAACAACGGUUUGAUUGUUUGGAAUUGAAGAUUUAAGAAGAAAGACCAAUUGGAACUUGGAAGUUUGGGACUUGAUAUUGUUUUCAAUAUAUGUUUUGAUUAGAAUUCUAUGUGUUUUUGUCUUAAAUUUGUUAAGGAGCAUGG